rnacentral:rRNA from 1 species
UACGGUGGGAGCAAGCGUUGUUCGGAUUUACUGGGCGUAAAGGGCGCGUAGGCGGCCACCGCAAGUCGACUGUGAAAUCUCCGGGCUUAACCCGGAAAGGUCAGCCGAUACUGCGGGGCUAGAGUGCAGAAGGGGCAACUGGAAUUCUCGGUGUAGCGGUGAAAUGCGUAGAUAUCUGGAGGAACACCGGUGGCGAAGGCGGCAUCCUGGACCAACACUGACACUGAUGAGCGAAAGCCAGGGGAGCAAACGGG